rnacentral:rRNA from 1 species
CCCUACUGCUAUCGGGGGAGGACUAAAACAUGCAAGUCGUGCGCCUCCAAGCUAUGAUGGAGACGCGGCGUACAGCUCAGUAACACGUGGCUAACCCACCCUUGAGACGGAGACAACCCCGGGAAACUGGGGCUAAUCCCCGAUAGGAGAAGACACCUGGAAUGGGUCUUCUCCCAAAAGGCGUUUAGGCCAUGCUUCUAGAUGUCGCUCAAGAACGGGGCCGCGGCCGAUCAGGUUGUUGGUGAGGCAAUGGCUCACAAAGCCUAUAACCGGUACGGGCCGUGAGAGCGGGAGCCCGGAGAUGGGCACUGAGACAAGGGCCCAGGCCCUACGGGGCGCAGCAGUUGCGAAAACUCCGCAAUGCACGAAAGUGUGACGGGGCUACCCCGAGUGCCGUCCGCUGAGGGCGGCUUUUCCCCGGUGUAAGGAGCUGGGGGAAUAAGGAGAGGGCAAGUCUGGUGUCAGCCGCCGCGGUAAUACCAGCUCUCCGAGUGGUAGGGAUGAUUAUUGGGCUUAAAGCGUCCGUAGCUGGCCUAGCAAGUCUUCCGUUAAAUCCACCGAUUUAAUCGUUGGACUGCGGGAGAUACUGUUGGGCUAGGGGGUGGGAGAGGCCGACGGUAUUCUCGGGGUAGGGGUAAAA